AAACCAACAGGGAUUACCUUAGUAACGGCGAGUGAAGCGGUAAAUGCUCAAAUUUGAAAGCUGCCAACAGGCCGCGUUGUAAUUUGUAGAAGAUGCUUUGGGUGUCGGCCCAGUCUAAGUUCCUUGGAACAGGACGUCAUAGAGGGUGAGAAUCCCGUAUGUGAUUGGUGCCGUCCCCCGUGUAAAGCUCUUUCGACGAGUCGAGUUGUUUGGGAAUGCAGCUCAAAAUGGGUGGUAAAUUUCAUCUAAAGCUAAAUAUUGGCCAGAGACCGAUAGCGCACAAGUAGAGUGAUCGAAAGAUGAAAAGCACUUUGGAAAGAGAGUUAAACAGUACGUGAAAUUGUUGAAAGGGAAGCGCUUGCAAUCAGACUUGCAGGCGGUCGAUCAUCCGAGGUUCUCCCCGGUGCACUCGAUCGUCUUCAGGCCAGCAUCGGUUUCCGUGGUGGGAUAAAGGCUGUGAGAACGUAGCUCUUCGGAGUGUUAUAGCUCACGGUGCAAUGCCGCCUACGGGGACCGAGGACCGCGCUUCGGCUAGGAUGCUGGCGUAAUGGUUGUAAGCGAC
rnacentral:rRNA from 1 species